CAUAUGUAUGAGCGUCGCUUAUAUGUGACACUUCGUUUAAUAAUAUAUGAACAGCUGUACAGUUUCAUGUUGAAUCUCGUCGUAUGGCUUAAAUAAUGAGCUUAUGUUUCAAAAGAUAACUGAGUCUUAUCAAUGCGGCUUUAGAUCUUAAGAACUAAAUCCACCAUGGUCCAGAUAUUUACAUUAGGCCAAAUCCUGCAAAAAUCUAAAAAGAAACAGAUCAACUUUAAAGCCGUCUAAUACACAUAUGUAUGUUUAAAGAGUAGGAAUAUAUCUCUCCGAAGCAUACGAGAUUGCAGACAGAACGAGAGCUUGGCAUGUGAUGUGGAUACAGUAAUUCCAGCCUUUGAAGAAAUCAGCGUACAGAAAUAAAGUGUUUUCCAGUAGUGGCUUGACAACUUUGACUUUCAACAAGCCGACGACGUUGGAAUAGCUCAGAGCCUGCAUUGAACGGUAUAUACAUAGUUACCGUUUCUGCUGAAAUGUGUGGCCGAGUCAUCGAAAAUUGGGUCCAACUUAUUGAUAGAUGCAAAGGUGCUCACGGUGGCCAUAUUAACGAAGUCCAGUUCUAUAAAUGUUUUGAUUGUACCUCAAGCCGAUAAUAAAGUUUUUGAAAUAUUUCAAA